rnacentral:rRNA from 1 species
GAUGAACGCUGGCGGCGUGCCUAAUACAUGCAAGUCGAGCGAACGGACGAGAAGCUUGCUUCUCUGAUGUUAGCGGCGGACGGGUGAGUAACACGUGGAUAACCUACCUAUAAGACUGGGAUAACUUCGGGAAACCGUAGCUAAUACCGGAUAAUAUUUUGAACCGCAUGGUUCAAAAGUGAAAGACGGUCUUGCUGUCACUUAUAGAUGGAUCCGCGCUGCAUUAGCUAGUUGGUAAGGUAACGGCUUACCAAGGCAACGAUGCAUAGCCGACCUGAGAGGGGGAUCGGCCACACUGGAACUGACACAGGGCCCAGACCCCUAGGGGGGGCAGAGGGGGGGAAUCUCCCGCAAUGGGGAAAACCCUAACGGGGCAACGCGGGGGGGGUGAUGAAGGUUUUCGGAUCGAAAAACCUUUUUUUUAGGAAAAAAAAAUUUUGUAAGAAACUUGGCACAUCUGGAGGGAACCAAACAAAAAAGCCCCGGCAAACUAGUG